rnacentral:rRNA from 1 species
UCCCGUCUUGAAACACGGACCAAGGAGUCCAACGUGUGCGCGAGUCGUUGGGCGUAUAAACCCAACGGCGCAAUCAAUGUGAAGGAUGGGUUCCCAUCCUAGGGAGGAGGGCGGCGCUCCUUUUUGGACCGUUUCGCCCGCACUCCCGGGGCGUCUCGGGCUCAUCGCGAGCCGAGGCGCACCUAUAGCGUUCACGUUGGGACCCGAAAGAUGGUGAACUAUGCCUGGCCAGGACGAAGCCAGGGGAAACCCUGGUGGAGGUCCGUAGCGGUUCUGACGUGCAAAUCGAUCGUCGGAGCUGGGUAUAGGGGCGAAAGACUAAUCGAACCAUCUAGUAGCUGGUUCCCUCCGAAGUUUCCCUCAGGAUAGCUGGCGUUCACGGUGAGACGAGUCUCAUCCGGUAAAGCGAAUGAUUAGAGGCCUUGGGGCCGAAACGACCUCAACCUAUUCUCAAACUUUAAAUGGAUGAGAACCCCGGCUUGCUUGGGCGGAGAAAUUUGCUUGAAGCCGGGGCUCGGAUCCGAGUGCCAAGUGGGCCAAUUUUGGUAAGCAGAACUGGCGCUGUGGGG